rnacentral:tRNA from 1 species
GGUGGGGUUCCCGAGCGGCCAAAGGGAGCAGACUGUAAAUCUGGAAGGUUCGAAUCCUUCCCCCACCACCA